AUUGAACGCUGGCGGCAGGCCUAACACAUGCAAGUCGAACGGUAGCACAGAGAGCUUGCUCUCGGGUGACGAGUGGCGGACGGGUGAGUAACGUCUGGGAAACUGCCCGAUGGAGGGGGAUAACUACUGGAAACGGUAGCUAAUACCGCAUAACGUCGCAAGACCAAAGUGGGGGACCUUCGGGCCUCACACCAUCGGAUGUGCCCAGAUGGGAUUAGCUAGUAGGUGGGGUAAUGGCUCACCUAGGCGGCGAUCCCUAGCUGGUCUGAGAGGAUGACCAGCCACACUGGAACUGAGACACGGUCCAGACUCCUACGGGAGGCAGCAGUGGGGAAUAUUGCACAAUGGGCGCAAGCCUGAUGCAGCCAUGCCGCGUGUAUGAAGAAGGCCUUCGGGUUGUAAAGUACUUUCAGUGGGGAGGAAGGCGGUGAAGUUAAUAGCUUCACCGAUUGACGUUACCCGCAGAAGAAGCACUGGCUAACUCCGUGCCAGCCGCCGCCGUAA
rnacentral:rRNA from 1 species